GACGAACGCUGGCGGCGUGCUUAACACAUGCAAGUCGAACGGAAAGGCCCUGCUUUUGUGGGGUGCUCGAGUGGCGAACGGGUGAGUAACACGUGAGUAACCUGCCCUUGACUUUGGGAUAACUUCAGGAAACUGGGGCUAAUACCGGAUAGGAGCUCCUGCUGCAUGGUGGGGGUUGGAAAGUUUCGGCGGUUGGGGAUGGACUCGCGGCUUAGCAGCUUGUUGGUGGGGUAGUGGCUUACCAAGGCUUGGACGGGUAGCCGGCCUGAGAGGGUGAACGGCCACAUUGGGACUGAGAUGCGGCCCAGACUCCUACGGGAGGCAGCAGGGGGGAAUAUUGCACAAUGGGCGGAAGCCUGAUGCAGCAACGCCGCGUGCGGGAUGACGGCCUUCGGGUUGUAAACCGCUUUCGCCUGUGACGAAGCGUGAGUGACGGUAAUGGGUAAAGAAGCACCGGCUAUCUACG
rnacentral:rRNA from 1 species